CGGAUUUCAGGUGAAUAAACAAAGGAGAAGACAUAACAAGGGAGGCUCGGAAUCUCUGGCCACCGGGAGUCCAGGAGCAGAGAGGGGGAAGGUGCAGUGACCCCACGGAAACGCCUGUGGGAUGAGGUCUCCAGCUUUGCAGAGCCACCGGGCUUGUGGGGGCGAACUGAGAUGAGACCUUUCAUAACACCCUUUCACCACCCUGGUGAGAGUCACCCUAACAGGACCAAUCCAGGCCUUAUGGGCUACUCUUACAAGCAAGGUGCAAUCCUUGAGGUCUGUGUGCUUUGAAAAUUGCAGAGCGGUUUGCAUGUAAGAUGCCCC